rnacentral:lncRNA from 1 species
AUGUAUUAUAUUUUAGCGCCUUUGACAAUGCGUGUGUUUGUGUUUAAAACUGGACAGAUAAUCUGGAGUGGCAGAAAUCAAGAGGGUGCUGGCACAACUGCAGGAGAAGAGGUUGAAAUGGUGAACAGCUACCUUUCUCGUUGUGGCCUCACAACCAAGUACAUGACCAAAUCUGCCAGGAAUGACAUGCUGACCAUACAUGCCAUUGAGUGGAACAAGCGGAAGCAAGAUGGUCUACAUCUUGCUUUGUCUUGCAGAUAUGUCAAGACACUGCAAAAGGCUGAGGCUGCGUCUCAGAAAUUAAGUGAUUUGUGCAGUGACCUUGACUGCCCUGAGGACAUGGUGCACCAUUGGGUAGAGGACGUGAGACAGUGGGCGAAGGCUGGUAAAGUUUUUUCUUAACAUUUUUCUAUGUAGUUUCAGACUUAGACUUCACUACUUAGACUUCACUACUGUAUCAAAUAAGCAUGAAAAAAAUAAAUAAAAAUGCUAUGAAAAAGCUUGUGGUAGAAUUGAAAUUUGCAAUCAAAUAUUGCCAGAUGCUGUAAAUCCCCUUACCAGAGGGCAGCAGAAAGAACUGUGACUAUAGGUGGGUGUUUUCUGAUGUUGAGGGCCCUGGUCUGACAGCAUCUGUUCUCAAGUGUAGUAGUUUUUCAAAUUUUCUGUGGUUGUAGUAAUAAUCAUGAGAGGUUGGGUGCAUUCACACUGGUUUAGCUUGAAUGAAACAGAGUUCAUUUGUAAGGUCUUGGUCUGUCCCUGUUUGAAAGACCAAAUAACUGGACUUUGACUUGAACCCUCGAGGGCAAUGGUAAGGGGAAAAAAAAAGUGUGUCAUAAAAAUGACAAUACCGAAGUGAUUUUCCAUGCCAUCACUUCAGAUGACAAUCAAACUAGAUUCAGCAGUGUAUUUAAAUUGCCUCCCUCAUGAUGUAAUGUUUUU